AUGAUAGAACAGAAAAGGUUUGACAGUAUUGCUUACAGUUGGGGGGGUAAAAUAAAAACAAUCUCUCACUGCUCCUCUCACUGCUCCUGCUCCUCUCACUGCUCCGCUCACUGCUCCUCUCACUGCUCCUGCUCCUCUCACUGCUCCGCUCACUGCUCCUCUCACUGCUCCUGCUUCCCUCACUGCUCCGCUCACUUCUCCUCUCACUGCUCCUGCUCCUCUCACUGCUCCGCUCACUGCUCCUCUCACUGCUCCUGCUUCCCUCACUGCUCCGCUCACUGCUCCUCUCACUGCUCCUGCUUCCCUCACUGCUCCGCUCACUGCUCCUCUCACUGCUCCUGCUCCUCUCACUUCUCCUCUCACUGCUCCGCUCACUGCUCCUCUCACUGCUCCUGCUCCUCUCACUGCUCCUCUCACUGCUCCUCUCACUGCUCCUGCUUCCCUCACUGCUCCGCUCACUGCUCCUCUCACUGCUCCUGCUCCUCUCACUGCUCCUGCUCAUCUCACUGCUCCGCUCACUGCUCCUCUCACUGCUCCUGCUUCCCUCACUGCUCCGCUCACUGCUCCUCUCACUGCUCCUGCUCCUCUCACUGCUCCUGCUCAUCUCACUGCUCCGCUCACUGCUCCUCUCACUGCUCCUGCUUCCCUCACUGCUCCGCUCACUGCUCCUCUCACUGCUCCUGCUUCCCUCACUGCUCCGCUCACUGCUCCUCUCACUGCUCCUGCUCCUCUCACUUCUCCUCUCACUGCUCCGCUCACUGCUCCUCUCACUGCUCCUGCUCCUCUCACUGCUCCUCUCACUGCUCCUCUCACUGCUCCUGCUUCCCUCACUGCUCCGCUCACUGCUCCUCUCACUGCUCCUGCUCCUCUCACUGCUCCUCUCACUGCUCCUCUCACUGCUCCUGCUCCUCUCACUGCUCCGCUCACUGCUCCUCUCACUGCUCCUGCUCCUCUCACUGCUCCGCUCACUGCUCCUCUCACUGCUCCUGCUCAUCUCACUGCUCCGCUCACUGCUCCUCUCACUGCUCCUGCUUCCCUCACUGCUCCGCUCACUGCUCCUCUCACUGCUCCUGCUCCUCUCACUGCUCCGCUCACUGCUCCUCUCACUGCUCCUGCUCCUCUCACUGCUCCUGCUCAUCUCACUGCUCCGCUCACUGCUCCUCUCACUGCUCCUGCUUCCCUCACUGCUCCGCUCACUGCUCCUCUCACUGCUCCUGCUCCUCUCACUUCUCCUCUCACUGCUCCUCUCACUGCUCCUGCUUCCCUCACUGCUCCGCUCACUGCUCCUCUCACUGCUCCUGCUCCUCUCACUGCUCCUCUCACUGCUCCUGCUCCUCUCACUUCUCCUCUCACUGCUCCUGCUCCUCUCACUUCUCCUCUCACUGCUCCGCUCACUGCUCCUCUCACUGCUCCUGCUCCUCUCACUUCUCCUCUCACUGCUCCGCUCACUGCUCCUCUCACUGCUCCUGCUCCUCUCACUUCUCCUCUCACUGCUCCUCUCACUGCUCCUGCUUCCCUCACUGCUCCGCUCACUGCUCCUCUCACUGCUCCUGCUCCUCUCACUUCUCCUCUCACUGCUCCUCUCACUGCUCCUGCUUCCCUCACUGCUCCGCUCACUGCUCCUCUCACUGCUCCUGCUCCUCUCACUUCUCCUCUCACUGCUCCUCUCACUGCUCCUCUCACUGCUCCUGCUCCUCUCACUUCUCCUCUCACUGCUCCUCUCACUGCUCCUCUCACUGCUCCUGCUUCCCUCACUGCUCCGCUCACUGCUCCUCUCACUGCUCCUGCUCCUCUCACUUCUCCUCUCACUGCUCCGCUCACUGCUCCGCUCACUGCUCCUGCUCCUCUCACUUCUCCUCUCACUUCUCCUCUCACUGCUCCUGCUCUUCUCCCUGGGCCCCUUGCUCUUACUCUUCCUCGUCCAUACGUUACAGUGUUUGUCUUUUUCUGUUUCUGUUUCCAAAAAUAUUACUCUUCAAAGUUCUCCUUUUAUUGUAUAAGUGUCAAUGUAAUAGAAAAAAAUAA
ensembl:lncRNA